rnacentral:rRNA from 1 species
AGGACAAACGCUGGCGGCGUGCCUAAGACAUGCAAGUCGAACGGUGGGGCUUGCCCCACAGUGGCGGACGGGUGAGGAACGCGUGGGCAACCUGCCCCGGGGUGGGGGAUAACACUCAGAAAUGGGUGCUAAGACCGCAUACGAGUGGGGGACGGAAGGUUCCUUAGGGAAAAGCCUUCGGGCUGCCCUGGGAGGGGCCCGCGUCGGAUUAGCUAGUUGGUGUGGUAACGGCGCACCAAGGCUGCGAUCCGUAGCUGGUCUGAGAGGACGACCAGCCACACUGGGACUGAGACACGGCCCAGACUCCUACGGGAGGCAGCAGUUAGGGAAUUUUCACAAUGGGCGCAAGCCUGAUGGAGUGACGCCGCGUGCAGGACGACGCCUUUCGGGGUGUAAACUGCUUUUCUUCGGGUACGAGAACGGACGGUACCGGAGGAAGAAGCCUCGGCUAACUACGUGCCAGCAGCCGC